AUUUUACUGUUUUGGUUCCCUCUCUACAAAAUCGUUUGCAGCCACAUCAGGGAUCUGUUUCCAAUGUGGGGGAAAAAAGCACUGAUAAACUCACAGAGCUAUCUGCCCAGCACCUUUGGCAGACAGACAGUCAGCAACUAGCUGGUGUGUAUAGUGGAGCAUUAAGCAUCUAAAGAGCCACUUAUUUCCCCCAGGAAUUGGUGAAGACCAACACAGUGCUACAAGAAGAGUGAAUAUUGGACUUACAUUCCUCAGAACUUGGACAAAAAUGACCUCCACCAAGGAAAAGUGCAAUGGAAUGAUCAUUCAAGUCGGAAUUCCAAGUCGGAAACUUGGGCAAGAUCCAUCUAGCCUGAGUUCGCCAACAGAAACAAACCUGACGUCACACAUGCUAAUGUGUUAAGUCAGCUGCUGUAGUGUUGGGUUGGAAUGAAACCCUGCAUCUACGUGGCCCUCGAAACACCAGUUUGCAGUGGGCGUCCAUGUUUUCCCGAGCAGAUGAGACUGGGAUGCAUAGAUUGGAAGUUGAGAAUACCGACUUGGAACUAUCGACUUCCACCUUGCAAUGGAUUGCAGCAUCAAUCCAUGAAAAAGCACAC